GCUGCAUGCCGAUCUCCAACAUUUACCCAGGUCAUUAGGUGACUCUGCGUCUCCAUGGGCAUCAGGAAACAUUUUAUACAAAGAACAGGUCUAGGAUAUCUGCGCAACGUGUAGCAGCUGAGGACUGAGGGUGGCCCAUGUAGCUAGCGAGCAGUCACACAUGUGAUUCUCCUCAAGAAGCAUAAAAUCAACUCUGAUCUGCACGUCCAGGUCAACCAAUUACUGG